ACUUGGUGAUGUAGACAUUUAUGGAGCAAGUCCCCAAAGCGCUCCCAGGUCUUGGAAAAGAAUUCCCCAUCCAUCUAUGAGAAACUUGUGAUGGCUCUCCAAAGU